ACCGGCUCCUAUCGAAGCCGUUCGUGCUCUCCCGUAGCAGUGAUCGGUCAACAGUGAGCCAAGAGGAAGACUUUCACCGACGGUCGCUGUUCAGUUUGAAGUAACUGUUUUAGCAACAUUUUGGGAAAGGACAUCC
ensembl:snoRNA